UGAAUUUUUACGCACGGCGUCGGAGAGAAACUGCGAAUGGCUCAUUAAAUCAGUUAUCGUUUAUUUGAUUGUACCUUUACCACUUGGAUAACCGUGGUAAUUCUAGAGCUAAUACAUGCGAAAAGUCCCGACUUCUGGAAGGGAUGUAUUUAUUAGAUUCAAAACCAAUGCGGGUUCUGCCCGGUCAUUUGGUGAUUCAUAGUAACUGUUCGAAUCGCAGGGCCUCGCGCCGGCGAUGUUUCAUUCAAAUUUCUGCCCUAUCAACUGUCGAUGGUAAGGUGUUGGCUUACCAUGGUUACAACGGGUGACGGAGAAUUAGGGUUCGAUUCCGGAGAGGGAGCCUGAGAAACGC
rnacentral:ncRNA from 1 species